GCAGCGGUAGUUCAGUUGGUUAGAAUACCGGCCUGUNNCCGGGGGUCGCGGGUUCGAGCCCCGUCCGCUGCGCCA
rnacentral:tRNA from 1 species